rnacentral:rRNA from 1 species
UACAGAGGGGGCAAGCGUUGUUCGGAAUUACUGGGCGUAAAGGGCGCGUAGGCGGCCUGCUAAGUCGAACGUGAAGUCCCUGGGCUCAACCCAGGAACUGCGUCCGAUACUGGUUGGCUUGAAUCCGGGAGAGGGAUGUGGAAUUCCAGGUGUAGCGGUGAAAUGCGUAGAUAUCUGGAGGAACACCGGUGGCGAAGGCGACAUCCUGGACCGGUAUUGACGCUGAGGCGCGAAAGCCAGGGGAGCAAACGGG